rnacentral:snoRNA from 1 species
AAUCCAUGGUGAGGACACCUUUUUAUCAAAUCCUUAUACCUUUCCCAAGCCUCAUGUAGUGACUCAAAAUCAAAUUGCGUGAAAGACGUGAUAUCAUUCCGCAUCUU